rnacentral:rRNA from 1 species
AACGAACGCUGGCGGCAGGCUUAACACAUGCAAGUCGAACGCCCCGCAAGGGGAGUGGCGCACGGGUGAGUAACGCGUGGGAAUCAACCUUCUGGUACGGGACAACCUCGGGAAACUGAGGCUAAUACCGUAUAUCUCCUCAGGGAGAAAGAUUUAUCGCCAGAAGACGAGCCCGCGUCCGAUUAGCUAGUUGGUAGGGUAAUGGCCUACCAAGGCGACGAUCGGUAGCUGGUCUGAGAGGACGAUCAGCCACACUGGGACUGAGACACGGCCCAGACUCCUACGGGAGGCAGCAGUGGGGAAUAUUGGACAAUGGGUGCAAGCCUGAUCCAGCCAUGCCGCGUGCAGGAAGAAAGCCUUCUGGGUUGUAAACUGCUUUUGCCAGGGGAUAAAAACACUUUGCGAAGUGGAUUGAAGGUACCUGGUGAAUAAGCCACGGCUAACU